rnacentral:lncRNA from 1 species
GGACGCUGUCUGGGAAGUCCUCAACCCUUUUGCUGCAGCUUUUGUUGAUUUUAUAAACACUGAUGGCUAUACAAAUGCGGUGCCCCUUCAUCCACAUAAUGCUGAUGAAAACCAGUGAAAGACCCAGAUUGUCCCUGCACUGCUUGGCACACCCUAUAUGUCAAAGCUCUGCUGGGCUUCCUCGAAAGUGGACCAAGCGUUCUAUUCCAACAUAUGGCAACAAACCAGGACAAUCAAAAGAGUGCAAUAAUUGCCACUUCCCAUUCUGCCUAUGACUCUGUCUCCAUGAGGCUCAGUUAUGAGUCUUAUGUCUGGGCUUAAGACAUGACGAAUGCAAAUAACCUCCUGUCUUUCUCUUUACUUCUUCCAACACAUAGACAUUUAAACUCUUAUAAUUAAUUUACUGAAAUAGAUGCCUCAUAUUCAGAUAAUGCCAGAAUUCAAGGCAUUGCUUACCUGUGAAGCAAAAUAGGCAGUCAAGAUGGCUGUGAGAGAGGAAAAGACAUUCCUCUUCCAAUGACUG